rnacentral:rRNA from 1 species
UACGUAGGGGGCGAGCGUUGUCCGGAUUUAUUGGGCGUAAAGAGCGUGUAGGCGGCCAGGUAGGUCCGUUGUGAAAACUCGAGGCUCAACCUCGAGACGUCGGCGGAAACCCUCUGGCUAGAGUCCGGAAGAGGAGAGUGGAAUUCCUGGUGUAGCGGUGAAAUGCGCAGAUAUCAGGAGGAACACCAAUGGCGAAGGCAGCACUCUGGGACGUGACUGACGCUGAGACGCGAAAGCGUGGGGAGCGAACAGG